rnacentral:misc_RNA from 1 species
UUUCCGUAGGUGAACCUGCGGAAGGAUCAUUAAUGAGUUGUCAUGGGGUUCGAUGCUGGCAGCCAGUUUUUGGAUGCAUGUGCAUGCCCUAACAAUCAUCUUCUUCCAAACACCUGUGCACAUUUUUGAGGGAGUCUUGAGUUGGUUGCCGCUCUUGGGUGAUUUUCUCACAUUCCCUUAAAUCAAUAUACGCUAUUAACAAUGUUGAACGUGCUCUGUGCCGCAAGGCCAUUAAUAUAAUACAACUUUUAACAACGGAUCUCUUGGCUCUC